GUUUCUGUAGUGUAGUGGUUAUCACAUUCGCCUCACACGCGAAAGGUCCCCGGUUCGAAACCGGGCAGAAACA
rfam:Charadrius vociferus contig15514, whole genome shotgun sequence.